rnacentral:pre_miRNA from 1 species
UCUUACGAAUGAGCAAAGGAAGUGGUUCCCUGAGAUGGAAACUACUCCUGGUGAAGAUGCCGUAAA